rnacentral:rRNA from 1 species
UACGAAGGGGGCUAACGUUGCUCGGAAUCACUGGGCGUAAAGGGUGCGUAGGCGGGUCUUUAAGUCAGGGGUGAAAUCCUGGAGCUCAACUCCAGAACUGCCUUUGAUACUGAGGAUCUUGAGUACGGGAGAGGUGAGUGGAACUGCGAGUGUAGAGGUGAAAUUCGUAGAUAUACGCAAGAACACCAGUGGCGAAGGCGGCUCACUGGCCCGGUACUGACGCUGAGGUGCGAAAGCGUGGGGAGCAAACAGG